UUUAUUGGAGAGUUUGAUCCUGGCUCAGGAUGAACGCUGGCGGCGUGCCUAAUACAUGCAAGUCGAGCGAAUGGAUUAAGAGCUUGCUCUUAUGAAGUUAGCGGCGGACGGGUGAGUAACACGUGGGUAACCUGCCCAUAAGACUGGGAUAACUCCGGGAAACCGGGGCUAAUACCGGAUAACAUUUUGAACCGCAUGGUUCGGAAUUGAAAGGCGGCUUCGGCUGUCACUUAUGGAUGGACCCGCGUCGCAUUAGCUAGUUGGUGAGGUAACGGCUCACC
rnacentral:rRNA from 1 species